GGGCACGGCACCAGGGACUAGGAGCUAGAGAAGCAGACGAAGAAAGCAGCGCUCAGCAGCCGACUGGACUCACGGACCUGCAAACUGACAAACUCAUCUAUGGUGUACCCUGGAGCCUCGCACUGACUCCCGAGACAGAAAUGUUUAAACAUUCAAAAAAGCAGACUUCCAGCCAAGAUGGAGGCAUAGGUACACUCCCAAGAACCUGACUUCAGAGGAAUGGUCUUCCAGAAUUCUAAGCAUUACAGUUUGCCAUGACCAGGACAAGAGUAACACAGAGCGUGAAUAACACAGACCCAUGAGCAGCAAAGCAAGAGCUCUCCCAUUACAGGUGCAGCACAUCCGUAAUCCGAGCCAGCCCCGGGCUGCAGCUGCUGGAACACCAGCCCACGAAGACAAGCCUGACAGCAAGAGAAGUAGGAGAUUCUAGGAAAUUCUGACCUUCUCAAGGAGCCUCAAUACGCACAGUUUUCCAUAAGAGUGCCACACCUCUCUCCUUCUGCAGGACGUGUGCCCAGAUUAAGCUUCCAAAAUAUUCAAUUUGCUUUUGAGGGGUUUUUUUUGUUCUUCUUUUUCUUUUCUACCCA